GAUGAACGCUGGCGGCGUGCCUAAUACAUGCAAGUCGAGCGAACAGACGAGGAGCUUACUCCUCUGACGUUAGCGGCGGACGGGUGAGUAACACGUGGAUAACCUACCUAUAAGACUGGGAUAACUUCGGGAAACCGGAGCUAAUACCGGAUAACAUGUUGAACCGCAUGGUUCAACAGUGAAAGACGGUCUUGCUGUCACUUAUAGAUGGAUCCGCGUCGCAUUAGCUAGUUGGUAAGGUAACGGCUUACCAAGGCAACGAUGCGUAGCCGACCUGAGAGGGUGAUCGGCCACACUGGAACUGAGACACGGUCCAGACUACUACGGGAGGCAGCAGUAGGGAAUCUUCCGCAAUGGGCGAAAGCCUGACGGAGCAACGCCGCGUGAGUGAAGAAGGUCUUCGGAUCGUAAAACUCUGUUAUUAGGGAAGAACAAAUGUGUAAGUAACUAUGCACGUCUUGACGGUACCUAAUCAGAAAGCCACGGCUAACUACGUG
rnacentral:rRNA from 1 species